rnacentral:rRNA from 1 species
UACCUUGUUACGACUUAACCCCAAUCAUCCCCCCCACCUUAGGCCGACGAAUCGGACUUCGGGUGUUGGUGACUUUCAUGGUUUGACGGGCGGUGUGUACAAGACCCGGGAACGUAUUCACCGCAGCUAGCUGAUCUGCGAUUACUAGCGAUUCCGACUUCAAAGAGGCGAGUUUCAGCCUCUUAUCCGAACUGAGAUUAGCUUUGAUGCGAUUUGCUCCACCUCGCGGCUUCGCUGCGCAUUGUACUAACCAUUGUAUCGUGUUUCUAGCCCAGGGUGUAAGGGUAAUACUGACCUGACAUCAUCCCCUCCUUCCUCCCCGUUACCGGGGCAGUUUGAAUAGAAAAAUACAACUAUCCACAAGGGUUGCGCUCGUUAAUGGACUUAACCAAACAUCUCACGACACGAGCUGACGACGGCCAUGCAACACCUGUCACUUGGCUCAAUAAAGCACUCUCGCCUUUCGGCAAAAUUCCAAGGAUGUCAAACCCUGGUAAGGUCCUUCGUUUAUCACCGAAUUAAAGAACACGAUCCACCGCUUGUGCGGGUCCCCGUCAAUUCCUUUAUGUUUUAGUCUUGCGACCGUACUCCACCGGCGGGAUACUUAACGCGUUAGCUUCGCUACUGAAGGGGUCGAUACCUCCAACAGCUAGUAUCCAUCGUUUACGGCGUGGACUACCCGGGUAUCUAAUCCGGUUCGCUCCCCACGCUUUCGUGCCUCAGUGUCAGAAAUGGUCCAGUAACCUGCCUACGCCAUUGGUGUUCCUUCUUAUAUCUACGGAUUUCACUCCUACACAAGAAAUUCCAGUUACCUCUACCAUUCUCGAGUUUGCCAGUUUGAUAAUAUUCUGUGAGGUUGAGCCUCCAGAUUUCCCAUCUUGAAUUACAAA